UGCCGCUUCACGUCUUCUCAUCCCCAGCAUGCGCUUUUCCUCCUCAGGAUCGCUAUCAUAUUCAACGUCCUCUUCACCCACCUUCGCCAUUAAAACCAAAACUAUAAUAAAACUUUCACCCAAAGAAAGCCAAUUUAGAGACAAUUAAAAGCCAAACAAAACUAGCCUAAAACCCUGAAACUCCCAAAAAUUUCUCAGAGAUCAAACACCAACUGUAGAAGCACCAGGUCAAUU
rnacentral:misc_RNA from 1 species